UACGUAGGGGGCGAGCGUUAAUCGGAAUUAUUGGGCGUAAAGGGUGCGUAGGCGGUUUGUUAAGACGGAUGUGAAAUCCCUGGGCUCAACCUGGGAACUGCAUACGUGACUGGCAGACUAGAGUAUGGCAGAGGGAGGUGGAAUUCCACGUGUAGCAGUGAAAUGCGUAGAUAUGUGGAGGAACACCGAUGGCGAAGGCAGCCCCCUGGGUCAAAACUGACGCUCAUGCACGAAAGCGUGGGGAGCAAACAGG
rnacentral:rRNA from 1 species